rnacentral:rRNA from 1 species
UUCGUAGGCGGUGCGGCAAGUUGGGAGUGAAAUCUCUGGGCUUAACUCAGAGGCUGCUCUCAAAACUGCCGUGCUCGAGUGCGGGAGAGGCCAGUGGAAUUGCAGGUGUAGCGGUGAAAUGCGUAGAUAUCUGCAGGAACACCCGUGGCGAAGGCGGCUGGCUGGACCGCAACUGACGCUGAGGAACGAAAGCUAGGGGAGCAAACAGGAUUAGAUACCCUGGUAGUCCUAGCCCUAAACCAUCAGGACUUGGGGUGGCCCGCGUAGGCGGGUCGUCUCGUAGCUAACGCGUUAAGUCCUGCGCCUGGGGAGUACGGUCGCAAGACUGAA